GAAGCGCGCCAGACCGCCGCUGGUGCAAGUUGGGAAACCAAGCACUGGAGGAACGUCCGGACUGCACAGGACAGCGUAGCAGCUAACGGCUGCCCACCGUGAGGUGAGGAUUAGAGCAACAGAGACGAGCCGAUUAAGUUCGGGUGAAACGGGCAAUCUCUACGCGCAGCAAUACCAAGUAGGCCAACGUUGAUGUGGUUCCGCAGAGUUGGCGGGUAGGUAGCAUUGAGCCGUGGUGGCGACACCCGGCCCAGAUUAAUGGC
rnacentral:RNase_P_RNA from 1 species